rnacentral:rRNA from 1 species
UGGUGGAGUGAUUUGUCUGGUUAAUUCCGUUAACGAACGAGACCUCGACCUGCUAAAUAGUAUCGCGGAUCCCUCGGGAUCCGUAGAAACUUCUUAGAGGGACUAUCGGUGCGUAGCCGAUGGAAGUUCGAGGCAAUAACA